GAUGAACGCUGGCGGCGUGCCUAAUACAUGCAAGUCGAGCGAACGGACGAGAAGCUUGCUUCUCUGAUGUUAGCGGCGGACGGGUGAGUAGCACGUGGAUAACCUACCUAUAAGACUGGGAUAACUUCGGGAAACCGGAGCUAAUACCGGAUAAUAUUUUGAACCGCAUGGUUCAAAAGUGAAAGACGGUCUUACUGUCACUUAUAGAUGGAUCCGCGCUGCAUUAGCUAGUUGGUAAGGUAACGGCUUACCAAGGCAACGAUGCAUAGCCGACCUGAGAGGGUGAUCGGCCACACUGGAACUGAGACACGGUCCAGACUCCUACGGGAGGCAGCAGUAGGGAAUCUUCCGCAAUGGGCGAAAGCCUGACGGAGCAACGCCGCGUGAGUGAUGAAGGUCUUCGGAUCGUAAAACUCUGUUAUUAGGGAAGAACAUAUGUGUAAGUAACUGUGCACAUCUUGACGGUACCUAAUCAGAAAGCCACGGCUAACUACGUGCCAGCAGCCGCGGUAAUACGUAGGUGGCAAGCGUUAUCCGGAAUUAUUGGGCGUAAAGCGCGCGUAGGCGGUUUUUUAAGUCUGAUGUGAAAGCCCACGGCUCAACCGUGGAGGGUCAUUGGAAACUGGAAAACUUGAGUGCAGAAGAGGAAAGUGGAAUUCCAUGUGUAGCGGUGAAAUGCGCAGAGAUAUGGAGGAACACCAGUGGCGAAGGCGACUUUCUGGUCUGUAACUGACGCUGAUGUGCGAAAGCGUGGGGAUCACACAGG
rnacentral:rRNA from 1 species